rnacentral:misc_RNA from 1 species
AACCAUAGAAACCUGCGGAGUACCUGCGGAGGGAUCAUUAUUGAAUUUUCCUAAAGAAAAAUUUUGUGUUGUUCUCUCGAAAGAGAGUGGUGCAAUACAAGAUUUUUCUCAAACAAACGAUCACAACUAAUAAUUGAAUUGAAUUGGUUUGGUUUGGCUUGAUAUUAUAACAACAAGUGUUUGCCUGAUAAUCAAGAUGAUUUGGAUUGGAGAAAGAAAUACAACUUUUAACAAUGGAUC